rnacentral:rRNA from 1 species
CCUACGGGCGGCAGCAGUGGGGAAUAUUGCACAAUGGGGGAAACCCUGAUGCAGCGACGCCGCGUGAGUGAAGAAGUACUUCGUUAUGUAAAGCUCUAUCAGCAGGGAAGAAAAUGACGGUACCUGACCAAGAAGCCCCGGCUAACUACGGGCCAGCAGCGGCGGUAAUACGUAGGGGGCAAGCGUUAUCCGGAUUUACUGGGUGUAAAGGGAGCGUAGACGGCAAGGCAAGUCUGGAGUGAAAGCCCGGGGCCCAACCACGGGACUGCUGUGGAAACCGGGUUGCUGGAGUGCAGGAGGGGUAAGCGGAAUGCCUAGUGUAGCGGUGAAAUGCGUAGAUAUUAGGAGGAACACCGGUGGCGAAGGCGGCUUACUGGACUGUAACUGACGUUGAGGCUCGAAGGCGUGGGGAGCAAACAGGAUUAGAUACCCGGGUAGUC